rnacentral:rRNA from 1 species
GAUUAACGCUGGCGGCGUGCAUAACACAUUCAAGUCGAACGGAGAAGAGUGCUUCGGUACUCUUCUUAGUGGCGGACGGGUGGGUAACGCGUGAGUAAUCUACCUUCCAGUGCGGAAUAACAACCGGAAACAGUUGCUAAUACCGCAUGAAAUGGCAGCAUCGCAUGGUGCAACCAUCAAAGAUUUAUCGCUGGAAGAUGAGCUUGCGUCCGAUUAGAUAGUUGGCGGAGUAACAGCCCACCAAGUCGACGAUCGGUAGCCGGACUGAGAGGAUGAUCAGCCACACUGGAACUGAGACACGGUCCAG